GAUGAACGCUGGCGGCGUGCUUAACACAUGCAAGUCGAACGAUGAAGCCCAGCCUGCUGGGCGGAUUAGUGGCGAACGGGUGAGUAACACGUGAGUAACCUGCCCUUGGCUCUGGGAUAAGCCCGGGAAACUGGGUCUAAUACCGGAUAGGAGCGCCUGUCGCAUGACGGGUGCUGGAAAGAUUUUUCGGUCAUGGAUGGACUCGCGGCCUAUCAGCUUGUUGGUGAGGUAACGGCUCACCAAGGCGACGACGGGUAGCCGGCCUGAGAGGGUGACCGGCCACACUGGGACUGAGACACGGCCCAGACUCCUACGGGAGGCAGCAGUGGGGAAUAUUGCACAAUGGGCGGAAGCCUGAUGCAGCGACGCCGCGUGAGGGAUGACGGCCUUCGGGUUGUAAACCUCUUUUCAGUAGGGAAGAAGCG
rnacentral:rRNA from 1 species